rnacentral:lncRNA from 1 species
AUGUGGCAGAAACGGGAGAAAGGCAGUCUUGAGCUUGAUAAAACAGAAGCAAAACCUCUCCAAAAAGUUCAGAGGAAAGAAAACCAGAUGCUGAUCUGUAAUCCUAUCUCCUGUGGAGUUCUGCCUAUUGCUGCUGCUUCCAGCAAAAGCAGAGAUAUCCUGGAACCUUGUAGAAGCUCAAGAACACCUGGCUGGUUCUCAAGGAUAAUCCUCUUCUGGAAUGAUGACUUUCAAGAGUAGAGAACAUACUUCAGUACACCCUAUUCAGCACAACAGAUCUGGGAGUUCCGCAGUUCUGAAGUGGUGAGAAACUGAGUAACUGUUGUAAUGGAGCACUGGAACAACACAAGACAGAACUGUGAUUUCACCUGAAAAAAAGAACCACAAUUCCACCUGGAAAAAAAGAGUAUGUCUUCAUAUGCCUCUUCUGUGAGCUGUGAAAUCCACUCAUAAAUAUGUUCUUUGUAGAGCUUCCAAGCUCUUGCCAUCAAAAUCUGUAUCAUUAAGAUCACACUCCAAAAGGCACUGGGGAGAAGACAUUGCUGGGGCCCUAGCUCUGCAUGCUUUCUCUUCUCUAGGUUUGGAUCUGCAUAUCUUCUCUUGCUCUUCAUAAUCCUUCAGGUUUUGCAUGAUGAAUGAGAAAUACAAAAACAGUGUAACUCAUAAAUGGAGAUCCUCUUCUGCUCAUGGAGUAUCACUGGUUCUUCAUUAUCUAAUUCUAGGUUAUUUUAAAUGUUAUCAAUUUAUUCUGUUAAACUGAUUAAGCUCAAUAGGAGAUUUUGAAGGCCACAAAAUGCACAGAUUGUAAAAGUAAAUCUUUGUGGAAAAUUUGGAGUUAACUGCGGUCCUUCUUUCCGAGUUUUGAAGACACAAACUGAAUACAUGUAUAGUAAAAAUGCGACAGAACACUGAAAAUGUACCAGCUUGAAACUGGUGCACUACAUUUGGAGGAACAGGUCCUUUGUAAUUAAAGGAAUGCGUGCCUUUUGCAUAGUGAUUGUACACAGAUUGAUCAGCAACAAAUACGAAUGUACUAGGUCUGAUCAGAAGCUGCCAAGUGUUAUUUGUUUUUUGACUAAAAAGAGAGGGAAAAACAUUCUUCAAGAUUUUAAAAAAAUUAUUUAUCUUGAAAUUUGUAAAGAUUGUUCAGUGUUCCAUUCAUUUCAGAAGUAAAAUUGCAAAAUCAGAAAUUAUCACAAAAUCGCAGAAUCACAGAAUCAAUCACAGGUGUUGGAAGGGACAUCAAGAGAUCACUGAGUCCAACCCCACUGCUAAAGAAGGUACC